rnacentral:rRNA from 1 species
GACGAACGCUGGCGGCGUGCUUAACACAUGCAAGUCGAACGGUGAAGGGGAGCUUGCUCCCCGGAUCAGUGGCGAACGGGUGAGUAACACGUGGGCAACCUGCCCCAGACUUCGGGAUAACGCUUCUAAAGAGGUGCUAAUACCGGAUACGAACUCCUUGGGCAUCCUGGGAGUUGGAAAGUUUUUCGGUCUGGGAUGGGCCCGCGGCCUAUCAGCUUGUUGGUGAGGUAACGGCUCACCAAGGCGACGACGGGUAGCCGGCCUGAGAGGGCGACCGGCCACACUGGGACUGAGACACGGCCCAGACUCCUACGGGAGGCAGCAGUGGGGAAUAUUGCGCAAUGGGCGAAAGCCUGACGCAGCAACGCCGCGUGAGGGAUGACGGCCUUCGGGUUGUAAACCUCUUUCAGCAGGGAAGAAGCGAAAGUGACGGUACCUGCAGAAGAAGCACCGGCUAACUACGUGCCAGCCGCCGCCGUAA